GCGAAUACGGAGGGUGCGAGCGUUAAUCGGAAUUACUGGGCGUAAAGCGCAUGCAGGUGGUUUGUUAAGUCAGAUGUGAAAGCCCGGGGCUCAACCUCGGAAUUGCAUUUGAAACUGGCAAACUAGAGUACUGUAGAGGGGGUAGAAUUUCAGGUGUAGCGGUGAAAUGCGUAGAGAUCUGAAGGAAUACCGGUGGCGAAGGCGGCCCCCUGGACAGAUAAUGACACUCAGAUGCGAAAGCGUGGGGAGCAAACAGGAUUAGAUACCCUGGUAG
rnacentral:rRNA from 1 species